AUUGAACGCUGGCGGCAUGCUUUACACAUGCAAGUCGAACGGUAACAGGCCGCAAGGUGCUGACGAGUGGCGAACGGGUGAGUAAUGCAUCGGAACGUGCCCAGUCGUGGGGGAUAACGCAGCGAAAGCUGUGCUAAUACCGCAUACGACCUGAGGGUGAAAGCGGGGGACCGUAAGGCCUCGCGCGAUUGGAGCGGGCGAUGUCAGAUUAGCUAGUUGGUGGGGUAAAGGCCUACCAAGGCAACGAUCUGUAGUUGGUCUGAGAGGACGACCAGCCACACUGGGACUGAGACACGGCCCAGACUCCUACGGGAGGCAGCAGUGGGGAAUUUUGGACAAUGGGCGCAAGCCUGAUCCAGCAAUGCCGCGUGCAGGAAGAAGGCCUUCGGGUUGUAAACUGCUUUUGUCAGGGAAGAAAUCUUCUGGGCUAAUACCCCGGGAGGAUGACGGUACCUGAAGAAUAAGCACCGGCUAACUACGUGCCAGCAGCCGCCGUAACAC
rnacentral:rRNA from 1 species